rnacentral:rRNA from 1 species
GCGAGGGUGAGGGAAAAGGGGUAGCGGCGGCGGCGAGGGCGAGGGAAGGCGUGACGAGGGCGAGAGCGGGGGAGGGCUAGAGCGACAGGAGAGGGUGGGUGGCGGCUGGAGCGGCAGGAGGAGUGGGUGGCGGCGGCUGGAGCAGGGAGGGAGGGAGGGGCGUAGAGUGCCGGUGGUGAUGCGGGAACGCGCGCUACCGCCGCCGCUCCAGCCGCGGGAGUAGCUCUUCGUGCGCCGUGACCGACGCCCCAAACCGGUCGCUGCGGCUAUAGACGACGCCGCGCUGCGGCUGCGCCAGGUGGUGCUGGCGGACGUCUAAGGCGUGCGGAUCGCUGCCUACGUGCCGUUGGCACGGGUCCAGGUACGAGACGAGGGCGGUCCAAGCAGGUACGAGACGAGGGCGGUCCAAGCAGGCGCGUGGGCGGAGGGAGGGAGGGGCGUACAUUGGGAUCAUCGAAAAGUCAUCUAGGCCGCGCGCACGCGGCGGCAGGCAGACUAAGCGAAACGGGCCCUAGAGCAAGCCCUGCCACUCUAACUAAUCAACCGUGGGUGGAGCUGAGGAACGAAGAGGAAAAAGGGGGCCGACGUCGACAAACGACAACUACCGUCGUGGGCAGGUCUAUGAACCAGUCAAAGUCAAAACGUUUAGGCCACAACAAGUCAAUUGACCGGCAGCCAACAAUAACAACACGUACCUCCACAACUCUAGGUUUCGUGCAUCUCCGCUCCGCCUCGUCCGUCAGCAUGUCCUACACACCGGCAUGCAACGAUGAAUUCGACCCGUUACGCCACCGUACGUGUGGUGCCGGUACCGACCGUGACAUAGCCGGUUACGGUUACGGUACCAGGCCGGUUCUCAAAGUCGCGACUCGGAAAAACGAACGAUUAUUAUCAUCCGACUAGGUGAAAUGACAUAAUCCUGAGAUAUGAUGAGCAAGGAAUUUGCAUAGUCCCAAGGAUUAAGCUCACGACGGCAGGGAAAAACUAGACCAUGAUGACGUAAACACGAUGUAGAUAUACAUGCUACUCCGAAUAGAAUGUCGAAUCCUCCCCUUGGAAACAUCUAGCGCCCCGUGUCCCCUAACCUCAGCCCGGACGGUCCCUUGUCGAGAUCUAGGAGAAACAGCAACUUGAAAUCAAAGGAGAACAGGCUCUACACGUACAGAAACCGAGUACACACCUAUCAUUAAAUAGUUACUCGAGCUCUGGUAUUGUCACAUCUGACCGCGAUCAAAACAAAUUAGAUCUGUCACAACACAAAUUCUGACAAUCAUGUCCCAAACACAUCAACAUCUUACCUCGAUAAACUACAGUCUUGUAAAGUAAAUGUUCCAGUUUAAAUAUGAGAGAUAUACGACUAGUCAAACAAUGAAUUACAAGCACGUCAUAGCCGCUGUUGUUCUUCCGGACCUUCUGGCUUGUGACGUCCCGUGACUUCUAUUUCGAAUGUCUUUCUUUAUUUCUACCGGUACAAGAGUGUAUGAGGACCUAAAGUAAAUGUAGUUGAAGAGUUCUCUCCUCAUGAGGAAAAAUCAUCAGAGUCAAAUUUCAUUUAAUUUACUUUCCUCAUGAGGAAAAGUCAACAGAGUCAAAUUUCAUUUACUUUCCUCAUGUUUACGUAAAUGUUUUUAUACCUAAUUAAAGUGUAUAGGAGGAAACGUUUGUAUACCUAAUUAAAAGUCAUCAGAGUCAAAUUUCAUUUACUUUCGUGUGUGUGUACACACACACACACCUAAGAUGAUAUCGUCAUCAUGAGAACGAUUUAAGUCUCGAGUCACUGUUCUUAGGGACUUACAUCCAACAAUAUCCAAAACCAAUAUGUACGUGUAAACCCAGAAUUAAGGACGGAUAAAAGAGACUUUUUUGACUCUGUACAAACUCAACCGUUACUGACUCUAUUAUAUCAUUGGUCAUUUUUUACAAAAUACUUCGGUUUAUUUAUUUAUACGAAAACAGACACUUGAUUAUUGUUAUAACGACCGUAAGAUACCGUUGUAAACGUCUAGAACUCCGUACACACACCGACCUUCUUUGUGAGUUCUUUAAACUGGCAUAUGAACACUGUAGUGAGAGUCCUGAAGUACUUACCUCACACAUGGUUGUAGUAGGUGUACGUCUUGUCCUUCGACUUCGACACUUAUAUCGACCGUUAUAAUGAUUACAACUUCGACUUCGAAGUCGAAGUCGAAGUCUAAGAGAACACGAAGGUUGUUAUAACGACCGUUAUAAUGAUUACACAAUUCAACAGAUUUGUACGAACGACGAUCGAAAUUUCAACUAGAUUUCUUGGUAAGUACGUAAAUGUGUAAGUACUAAAGGAGACGACAAACAUUAAUAAGACCAAUUGAACGAUCAUCUAUAACGGACCCUAAACAUCGACCAUCUAUAACACAGUACAGGAGAAUCUGCUCAAGUAAAUAACUUUUUAUAAAGUGUACAUCCCAUUUAUACAGUCAUUUAGACAUUUUAUAGAAGAAAUAUCAAAAAGGAGCGUACAAGUCAUAACACAGACCGUACAAGUAUCUCGGUGAACACCUCACUCUACCCUUAUUGUUAAUAUGAAGACAUUACAAACUAGCAUAUCUAUAUACGUUUUCAACGACACGUAAUAGUAAUCAAAACUAGCGACGAAAUGAUUAUUGACACUUACGUUAUCACACUAACACCAGAAUAACUGAACGUUCAAAUGAUAAAGCUCUUGGUAGUAGAAUAAAAGAAAUUGUAUCAUCAAAUGAUAACUGCAAAUGAUAACUCCUUAUUCUCCUCUAUACUUCAAAUAUAACUGCAAAGUACGUCCAGCCCAAUGGGUUACAACCGUUUAGUUGAAAGAAAUUGUAUCAUUGUUUCCACCCGAGAGCGCGGCCGCUGAGGUCCGAGCGCCACUUCUUCUCGUUCCGGCUCUUCCUGGGGUUGUUCGGGUUCGCGGGGACUCACGGAAGAAGUAGAAGUAGUCCACGAGACGAGAACGUGUGCAGUCCGUGGCAGAGACCGCGCCACCACGAAGAACUCCGCUGGCUGCACUACCACCGACACAUGCCGCCGCUGGUGUUCGACAGGCCACUCAGCCGAGGUAGAAGAUCGGGAUCUAGGGUGAAAAGGCGAGGAUAUCGUACGAGACAACCAAAUCUUGUGAUCGUCGUCAUCGGAUGGUACAUACGCAUGAUUUGUCGUCCUCAAGUUAGUGGAACACAUGUGAUCAUCGAACGAAUGUGUCAACAGUGAAAACGAACACCAUCGGUAAUACACCGACUUAGUACAGACACAGAUGAUUAGUAGUCAAUUAUCAUAAACCGAAGAUGCACUACCAGACUCUGAUUAAAUACCACUACACCUAUAUGAAACACUAAAUUUCAAUGAUUAGACACCAGACCACAGUAUAAUACCAGAUUAUAAAAAACAAAACUGAGAAAGACACCACGCUCCUUUCGACACUCAUCUGCAGUUGCUACGGAUGAACGAACCGACGAUGUCACUACGUACGUGGCCAGUUCGUUCGUGUGUACGUAUAUGCAUGUACAAUCCUAUUAUAUAGGCUAUAAGGGAGACAAGGACGAUAUAAGGACACACUACAUUUGGACCUCUACACAAUACACUACACUAUACUACCUACUAAACUUAAAGUGUACCUCAAAAGGACUAAACUUAUACUAUGUUACAGCCUA